GGGUAGCAUGCCUCCGGACCUUCAUAGUUUGGAAUCCGUCCCCCCCCCCACUUUUUGGGAUAGAUUGACGCCCUUACUGUCCGUGCUUGCCUGUCAGCAUAACUGAAAAAUAUCAAACUUAUUAAUACGGAGAUGUGUGGGACUAAUGGACAUUGGAUGUAUUGAGAAAUAAGCAAAAGUUUGUCUUGCUUUGCCGGGCAGAGUAAAUUGAAGCAUAAUUCAUGCCUGCAUGAUGAAUAACUUAAUUCGCCAGUGCAUGGAGAUAUGGAGUCUUCGAGUGCCCUCUAGUUUAUAAUCACUUGAAAUUUUGCAUAUUUCCACUCAUUGACUGUG